UAGAUGCGAGAGUAGAGCAUAUCAAUAAGCGGAGGAAAAGAAACUAACAAGGAUUCCCUUAGUAACGGCGAGUGAAGCGGGAAGAGCUCAAAUUUGAAAUCUUCAAGGUUCUACCUUGACGAAUUGUAGUUUAUAGAAGUGUUUUCUGUUAGUGAGAGUGGCAAAAGUUCUUUGGAAUAGGACAUCAUAGAGGGUGAGAAUCCCGUAUUUGGUCAUUCCUUUCCUAGCGUUGUGAUACACUUUCAACGAGUCGGAUUGUUUGGGAAUGCAGUCCAAAAUGGGUGGUAAAUUUCAUCUAAAGCUAAAUAUUGGCGAGAGACCGAUAGCGAACAAGUACCGUGAGGGAAAGAUGAAAAGAACUUUGAAAAGAGAGUUAAACAGUACGUGAAAUUGUCAAAAGGGAAGCGUUUGACACCAGUGUUGUUUUCGUUCGAAAAUCAAUUAAAAAGAGUUGGAUCUUGUAUUGUUAAGACCUUAUCAGCUUACUGUACUUUUUUCUUACUCUUUUUAAUGCACUUUUCGUUUAACAAGUCAACAUCAAUUUCUUUUGUUGUAAAAGGGUCAUUGGAAGGUGGCUUUCACUUCGGUGAAAGUGUUUAUAGCCUUUGGCUUCUGCAAUCGGAGAGAUUGAGGUCUGCAGCGUAGAUCCUUCGGGGUUAGAUACGUAGAUGCUAAGUUAUAGUUUUUUAUAGACAACUUGUUGACUAUGAUUAAUCAUGUAGCUUACUCGUUUGCGCUAUUUUACCUACGCUUAGGAUGUUGACGAGACUGUCGAUCUC
rnacentral:rRNA from 1 species